UGUGGCCGCCUGAGAUUGGA
rnacentral:misc_RNA from 1 species